ACUCAACUAAUCAGCAGGCACUAACACUGGAAUAAUAUAUAGAUCAGCAUGGCCCCUGAGCAAGGGUGCAAGGACAUCUGUAAUUUGUUCCAAUUUUUU
rnacentral:snRNA from 1 species